GUAGGUGGCAAGCGUUGUCCGGGAAUUAUUGGGCGUAAAGCGCGCGCAGGCGGUUCUUUAAGUCUGAUGUGAAAGCCCACGGGCUCAACCGUGGAGGGUCAUUGGAAACUGGAGAACUUGAGUACAGAAGAGGAAAGCGGAAUUCCACGUGUAGCGGUGAAAUGCGUAGAGAUGUGGAGGAACACCAGUGGCGAAGGCGGCUUUCUGGUCUGUAACUGACGCUGAGGCGCGAAAGCGUGGGGAGCAAACAGGAUUAGAUACCCUGGUAGUCCACGCCGUAAACGAUGAGUGCUAAGUGUUAGGGGGUUUCCGCCCCUUAGUGCUGCAGCUAACGCAUUAAGCACUCCGCCUGGGGAGUACGGCCGCAAAGGCUG
rnacentral:rRNA from 1 species